CAUGCCCAGGGGACGUGGAUAACCUCGGGAAACUGAGGAUAAACCGCGAUAGGUCAUCACUUCUGGAAUGGGUAAUGACUUAAACCUAUAUGGCCCCUGGAUUGGACUGCGGCCGAUCAGGCUGUUGGUGAGGUAAUGGCCCACCAAACCUGUAACCGGUACGGGCUCUGAGAGGAGGAGCCCGGAGAUGGGCACUGAGACGAGGGCCCAGGCCCUAUGGGGCGCAGCAGGCGCGAAACCUCUGCAAUAGGCGAAAGCUUGACAGGGUUACUCUGAGUGAUUUCCGUUAAGGAGAUCUUUUGGCACCUCUAAAAAUGGUGCAGAAUAAGGGGUGGGCAAGUCUGGUGUCAGCCGCCGCGGUAAUACCAGCACCCCGAGUGGUCGGGACGUUUAUUGGGCCUAAAGCAUCCGUAGCCGGUUCUACAAGUCUUCCGUUAAAUCCACCUGCUUAACAGAUGGGCUGCGGAAGAUACUAUAGAGCUAGGAGGCGGGAGAGGCAAGCGGUACUCGAUGGGUAGGGGUAAAAUCCGUUGAUCCAUUGAAGACCACCAGUGGCGAAGGCGGCUUGCCAGAACGCGCUCGACGGUGAGGGAUGAAAGCUGGGGGAGCAAACCGGAUUAGAUACCCGGGUAGUCCCAGCUGUAAACGAUGCAGACUCGGUGAUGAAUUGGCUUAUUGCUAAUUCAGUGCCGCAGGGAAGCCGUUAAGU
rnacentral:rRNA from 1 species